UACGUAGGGUGCGAGCGUUAAUCGGAAUUACUGGGCGUAAAGCGUGCGCAGGCGGUUUGCUAAGCCCGAUGUGAAAUCCCCGGGCUCAACCUGGGAACUGCAUUGGUGACUGGCAGGCUAGAGUAUGGCAGAGGGGGGUAGAAUUCCACGUGUAGCAGUGAAAUGCGUAGAGAUGUGGAGGAAUACCGAUGGCGAAGGCAGCCCCCUGGGCCAAUACUGACGCUAAUGCACGAAAGCGUGGGGAGCAAACAGG
rnacentral:rRNA from 1 species